GAUGAAGAACGCAGCGAAAUGCGAUAAGUAGUGUGAAUUGCAGAAUUCAGUGAAUCAUCGAAUCUUUGAACGCACAUUGCGCCCGCCAGUAUUCUGGCGGGCAUGCCUGUCCGAGCGUCAUUUCAACCAUCAAGCCCCGGGCUUGUGUUGGGGACCUGCGUCCGACGCAGGCCCUGAAAACCAGUGGCGGGCUCGCUGUCCACACCGAGCGUAGUAACUAACCUCGCUAUGGAGUGGCGCGGGCGCCUGCCGUAAAACCCCCAAUUUCACAAGGUUGACCUCGGAUCAGGUAGGAAUACCCGCUGAACUUAAGCAUAUCAAUAAGCGGAGGA
rnacentral:misc_RNA from 1 species